rnacentral:rRNA from 1 species
ACUGGAAGGUCCUCAGGCCGAAAGGGGCUCUGCCCGCCCGAGGAUGGGCCGGCGGCCGAUUAGGUAGUUGGUGGGGUAACGGCCCACCAAGCCGAAGAUCGGUACGGGCCAUGAGAGUGGGAGCCCGGAGAUGGACACUGAGACACGGGUCCAGGCCCUACGGGGCGCAGCAGGCGCGAAACCUCCGCAAUGCGGGCAACCGCGACGGGGGGACCCCCAGUGCCGUGGCAACGCCACGGCUUUUCCGGAGUGUAAAAAGCUCCGGGAAUAAGGGCUGGGCAAGGCCGGUGGCAGCCGCCGCGGUAAUACCGGCGGCCCGAGUGGUGGCCGCUAUUAUUGGGCCUAAAGCGUCCGUAGCCGGGCCCGUAAGUCCCUGGCGAAAUCCCACGGCUCAACCGUGGGGCUUGCUGGGGAUACUGCGGGCCUUGGGACCGGGAGAGGCCGGGGGUACCCCUGGGGUAGGGGUGAAAUCCUAUAAUCCCAGGGGGACCGCCAGUGGCGAAGGCGCCCGGCUGGAACGGGUCCGACGGUGAGGGACGAAGGCCAGGGGAGCGAACCGGAUUAGAUACCCGGGUAGUCCUGGCUGUAAAGGAUGCGGGCUAGGUGUCGGGCGAGCUUCGAGCUCGCCCGGUGCCGAAGGGAAGCCGUUAAG